rnacentral:rRNA from 1 species
CUGGCGGUGUGCUUCACACAUGCAAGUCGAACGAGGUAGCAAUACCUAGUGGCGGACGGGUGAGUAACGCGUGGGAAUCUGCCUUUAGAUGGGGGAUAACGGGUCGAAAGACUCGCUAAUACCGCAUAUGACGAAAGUUGAAAGGAGUAAUCCGUCUAAAGAUGAGCCCGCGUCCGAUUAGCUAGUUGGUAGAGUAAAAGCCUACCAAGGCGACGAUCGGUAGCUGGUCUGAGAGGAUGAUCAGCCACAAUGGGACUGAGACACGGCCCAUACUCCUACGGGAGGCAGCAGUGGGGAAUUUUACGCAAUGGGCGAAAGCCUGACGUAGCGACACCGCGUGAGCGAAGAAGCCCCUUGGGGUGUAAAGCUCUGUCAGCUGGAACGAAAAAAAUGACGGUACCAGCAGAGGAAGCAUCGGCUAACUACGUG